AGUCAGCUGGUAGCAGUUUAAAAGAUUAAAGAGAGAAGAAGACGCGUAGUAUUGAAGACUUGGUUAACCCACUGUGUUCAGCAGGACUAUAUUCAUGGAAUGACCUGGGAGUUUUCAGAAAGAUUACAUCCAACUGUUUCUCAGAG
rnacentral:lncRNA from 1 species